rnacentral:misc_RNA from 1 species
UCCAGUUUAUCACCGGCAGUCUCUCUAGAGUGCCCACCAUUACGUGAUGGCAACUAAAGACAAAGGUUGCGCUCGUUGCGGGACUUAACCCAACACUUCACAGCACGAGCUGACGACAGCCAUGCAGCACCUGUGGAAAAGCUCCUUGCGGAGAAACGCACUUUCAUGCGUAGUCUUAACCAUGUCAAGCCUGGGUAAGGUUCUUCGCGUAGCCUCGAAUUAAACCACAUGCUCCACCGCUUGUGCGGGCCCCCGUCAAUUCCUUUGAGUUUCAACCUUGCGGUCGUACUCCCCAGGCGGGGUACUUCCUGCGUUAGCGCCGGCACCCAGAGGGUCGCUCCCCCAGGCACCUAGUACCCAUCGUUUACGGCGUGGACUAC